AUAUGUAUAUGUAUAUGCAUAUGUAUAUGCCUAUGCCUAUGCCUAUGCAUAUGCAUAUGUAUAUAUGUAUAUGUAUAUGUAUAU